rnacentral:rRNA from 1 species
CAGGCCUAACACAUGCAAGUCGAACGGAACCCUUCGGGGUUUAGUGGCGGACGGGUGAGUAACGCGUGAGAAUCGGCCCUCAGGUUGGGGACAACCAUUGGAAACGGUGGCUAAUACCGAAUAAGCCGAAAGGUGAAAGAUUAAUUGCCUGGGGAAGAGCUCGCGUCUGAUUAGCUAGUUGGUGGGGUAAAGGCCUACCAAGGCACCGAUCAGUAACUGGUCUGAGAGGAUGGCCAGUCACACUGGGACUGAGACACGGCCCAGACUCCUACGGGAGGCAGCAGUGGGGAAUUUUCCGCAAUGGGCGAAAGCCUGACGGAGCAAUACCGCGUGGGGGAGGAAGGCUCUUGGGUCGUAAACCUCUUUUCUCAGGGAAGACAAAAUGACGGUACCUGAGGAAUCAGCAUCGGCUAACUCCGUGCCAGCAGCCGCGGUAAUACGGAGGAUGCAAGCGUUAUCCGGAAUGAUUGGGCGUAAAGCGUCCGCAGGUGGCAGUGUAAGUCUGCUGUCAAAGGUCAGGGCUCAACCCUGAACAGGCAGUGGAAACUACACAGCUAGAGUGCGGUGGGGGCAGAGGGAAUUCCCAGUGUAGCGGUGAAAUGCGUAGAGAUUGGGAAGAACACCGGUGGCGAAAGCGCUCUGCUAGGCCGCAACUGACACUCAUGGACGAAAGCUAGGGGAGCGAAUGGGAUUAGAUACCCCAGUAGUCCUAGCCGUAAACGAUGGAUACUAGGCGUAGCUCGUAUCGACCCGAGCUGUGCCGUAGCUAACGCGUUAAGUAUCCCGCCUGGGGAGUACGCUCGCAAGAGUGAAACUCAAAGGAAUUGACGG